rnacentral:rRNA from 1 species
AACGAACGCUGGCGGCAGGCCUAACACAUGCAAGUUGAACGUGAAGCAUCCUUCGGGAUGUGGAAAGUAGCGCACGGGUGAGUAACGCGUGGGAAUUUACACUUCGGUAAGGAACAACAGUUGGAAACGACUGCUAAUACCUUAUAACGACUCCGGUCCAAAGAUUUAUCGCCGAAGGAUAAGCCCGCGUCUGAUUAGCUAGUUGGUAAGGUAAAAGCUUACCAAGGCGACGAUCAGUAGCUGGUUUGAGAGGAUGAUCAGCCACACUGGGACUGAGACACGGCCCAGACUCCUACGGGAGGCAGCAGUGAGGAAUAUUGGACAAUGGGGGCAACCCUGAUCCAGCCAUGCCGCGUGAGUGAAGAAGGCCCUAGGGUUGUAAAGCUCUUUCAGUUGUGAAGAUAAUGACGGUAACAACAGAAGAAGCUCCGGCUAACUCCG